rnacentral:tRNA from 7 species
UGGAGGUUUAGCUCAGUUGGGAGAGCGUCUGCCUUACAAGCAGAGGGUCACAGGUUCGAGCCCUGUAACCUCCAU